rnacentral:rRNA from 1 species
UACGAAGGGGGCUAGCGUUGCUCGGAAUCACUGGGCGUAAAGGGUGCGUAGGCGGGUUUUUAAGUCAGGGGUGAAAUCCUGGAGCUCAACUCCAGAACUGCCUUUGAUACUGAAGAUCUUGAGUCCGGGAGAGGUGAGUGGAACUGCGAGUGUAGAGGUGAAAUUCGUAGAUAUUCGCAAGAACACCAGUGGCGAAGGCAGCACUCUGGGACGUGACUGACGCUGAGACGCGAAAGCGUGGGGAGCAAACAGG